CACUGAUUGUCUUCUUCAUGACCAUCAUUUCUUUGGUCCUGCUGGCAUCUCUGCUGCCACACCUGACCUUCACUGCUCAUGUGGGUAUAGUGAAUGGCAGGGCAGCAAAACCUUACUCCAGACCUUACAUGGUCUCUAUUCAGAAGAACAUUCAAAAUAACUGUGAAUUCCUCAUUUCUGAUCAGUGGGUCUUGACUGCUGCACACUGCUGGAAAGGCUUCAGGAAAAAGUCAAACUAAGCAGCCUUUGUUAAAU